rnacentral:rRNA from 3 species
GUCUAUGGCCAUACCACCCUGAACGUACCCGAUCUCGUCUGAUCUCGGAAGCUAAGCAGGGUCUGGCCUGGUUAGUACUUGGAUGGGAGAUCGCCUGGGAAUACCGGGUGCUGUAGGCU